AUGGCUGUCGUCAGCUCGUGUCGUGAGAUGUUGGGUUAAGUCCCGCAACGAGCGCAACCCUUAUUUCAUGUUGCCAGCGCGUAAUGGCGGGGACUCGUGAGAGACUGCCGGGGUCAACUCGGAGGAAGGUGGGGAUGACGUCAAGUCAUCAUGCCCCUUAUGUCCAGGGCUUCACACAUGCUACAAUGGCCGGUACAAAGGGCUGCGAUGCCGCGAGGCUUAGCGAAUCCUUUAAAGCCGGUCUCAGUUCGGAUCGGGGUCUGCAACUCGACCCCGUGAAGUCGGAGUCGCUAGUAAUCGCAGAUCAGCAACGCUGCGGUGAAUACGUUCCCGGGCCUUGUACACACCGCCCGUCACACCACGAAAGCGAGCAACACCCGAAGCCGGUGGCCUAACCCGCAAGGGAGGGAGCCGUCGAAGGUGGGGCCCGUGAUUGGGGUGAAGUCGUAACAAGGUAGCCGUAGCGGAAGCUGCGGCUGGAUCACCUCCUUUCUAGGGAGAAUUCAGAAGUAAUAUUCAUCCCGAUGUCGACCGGGCUCUAGGCAGAACGAUUCGUCGUCCUGCCACACGCUGCUCAGUUUUGAGAGACCGCCGGCGCGAAGCCCGCGCCGUUGCGCGCCUCGGUGGACCUUGAAAACUGCACAAGACAAUUGGGUACAGUCUGAUCGCUUCGGUGAUCAGGCUGCUUAAUAACGUUCCGGACGGUUUCGGCCGACCGGAACGCUCACCGUCAAGAUAUUAAGAGCAUGUGGUGGAUGCCUUGGCACCAGGAGUCGAUGAAGGACGUGGACGGCUGCGAUAAGCCGCGGUUAGGCGCUGAACAGCCAUUGACCCGCGGAUUUCCGAAUGGGGAAACCCGG
rnacentral:sRNA from 1 species